rnacentral:rRNA from 1 species
CCUACGGGAGGCUGCAGUGAGGAAUAUUGGUCAAUGGACGAGACUCUGAACCAGCCACGUCUCGUGAAGGAUGACUGCCCUAUGGGUUGUAAACUUCUUUUAUAUGGGAAUAAAAUGUUCCACGUGUGGGUUUUUAUAUGUACCAUAUGAAUAAGGAUCGGCUAACUCCGUGCCAGCAGCCGCGGUAAUACGGAGGAUCCGAGCGUUUUCCGGAUUUAUUGGGUUUAAAGGGAGCGUAGGUGGAUUGUUAAGUCAGUUGUGAACGGUUGCGGCUCAACCGUAAAAUUGCAGUUGAAACUGGCAGUCUGGAGUACAGUAGAGGUGGGCGGAAUGCGUGGUGUAGCGGUGAAAUGCGGAGAUAUUACGAAGAACACCGAUUGCGAAGGCAGCUCACUGGACUGCAACUGACACUGAGGCUCGAAAGUGUGGGUAUCAAACAGGAUUAGAUACCCCUGUAGUC